UUUUUAAAAAAUGUCUACUUUGAUUUUGAGCUGUGAACGUGAAGUGGGUCUAUCAUUUUCGCCUCAAAAACAAUUUUUGGUGAUAUAAAAUGCUAACCCAAAAUGGAAGAGUUAAAUAAAACACCACGUGAUGUUGUUAAAAAACUACAACGACGACAAACUAUUACUCUUUAUAAUUGGACAAAGAUCAUAACAGGAAUUUGUCAUAAAAAUUGAUGUUUAUCACCACAACAGGUUACGUGAUUGGAGCUUGUGCUUCUCCAGAUAGGAUAAGAACUCAUUGAUUCAAUCUUUUAACAACUAAAGGACUCUAGAGAGAAUCCUUUAUUAACGACCAUAAAAACAUACAAUGGUCAAUUAUUGCCAGAGGUGGGAACUUGGACUCUAGGCAUGCGACCCCACUUGGAGUUGAGUCCAUAUUUUGAUGACAAUCUCACAAUCUAGGACUCGAGACUUAACUUAGACUCCAUACUUAGGUCUUGCUACUCGACUUGGACUCCAAAGCUAGUAUAUUGUGCUUUCAAAAAAAGCCUUAGCACUAUGAACCCCAUAUUUUAGUUAUGGACUUGAAAUGAGCGUGAAUGAAAUCUGAGGGUUCGAUGAAAAUAUUCAAGGACUUGGAUAUGGCUUGAUAUUUUACGUGAACUUGUAGUAAUGAUUAGACGCCUACUAGAAUUCAUGUAUGGCUCAUAGUCAUUACAUUUUUGAAGAGACUUUGAAGAAGCACCUAUCGGAUAAAAAAUCUUAUCAUUUUACAUGUCAUAACUAAUAAAAAGAAUUAAAAAAAGUAUCUUGAAAAGCAAGACGCAGGAAAUCAUUGGAAUUAUUAAUGAACAAAUAGACGCGUUUCUCUCCUUCGAUCUACUCAAUAAUUUGUCAGAUAUCCAAUUAAGAUUGUAUAUAGAGCAAGAGCUGACUUUUUAUCAUUAUCUUAUAUCUAUAUCAUAAUUCAUAAGAACACUAGAAGCUUCCAGUUUCAAAGCUUGGGAAUAUUGUGACGUCAAAUGAAGUUGAGAUUGUUGAUGCAAUUCAUAAAUCAUAACGUCAUAGCUAAUUUGAAAGGUAGAAAGACUAUUAUGUGGAACCAAAAAAAAUGAUUACUAAAAUUGAGGAAUUGAUUUCUUCUAAUGUCUCGUAUAACAAAAAGUUAAAAUUUGCGGAUUUUGCUCUUCACCGUCAAUAAGGGUUGAGAAAGACUAAUAUAAACAAUGUACCUUGUUUUUAAGUGCUAUGUGGGUAGUAAAAUUAUAUGAUGAUUUUUAAAUUGAUUGAAUUAAUAUCUUAGAAAACGUAUAAUUUCAUAGUUUAAAAGUCCCUCUGUUAAUGUACAAGAAAAUAGAAAACACAAGAGACAUAGUGAUCCUGGAGCAAUUAGAAGAGUGAAUAAAAUGUCAAAUCUAACGAUAAUUCAUUGUUUGUGUCUAAAUCCAAAAAAUUAUUGUAUUUAAUAUAAAAUAAUGUAUAAUAAAUAAUUGAUUCUUA
rnacentral:lncRNA from 1 species